GGAUAAGCGCUGAAAGCAUCUAAGCGCGAAGCCGGCUCCGAGAUGAGAUCUCCCACUGAAAUAAUCAGGUAAGACCCCUGGUAGAACACCAGGUUGAUAGGCCGGAAGUAGAAGCGCAGCAAUGCGUGUAGCUGACCGGUACUAAUAGGUCGAGGGCUUGAAUUC
rnacentral:rRNA from 1 species